CCAAGACAGAGACUAACAAUGUUUUCCACCAGGAAGUACCAAGAACCAGGAGCUAAGAUAUUGUUUCCAUGACAAAGUUGCUGAGGACAUGGCUUCUAUCUGAGCAUGUAAAUCUUUAAGGAUAUUUGUCACCUUGCCAGAAAUGUCAGGGAUGUAAACACAACAACUAACAUUUAGGUUUACAGAUGUUCUUUCCUUUUAAGAUAUAGUCUUAUAAUUUAAUGUCAUCUGAUCUUGCAAAAUCCUUUUACUAGUAUGACCUGUGUCUAAUAGAGAAACCUUUAAUUCUGCUACUUAGGGCUGGAUAACCAUACUAGCAAACACCAAGCCUAACUGUGUAGGUUAGGAAUAUCUGUGGGCCUUAAACUAAAAACUACUCUGGCAGUUCCUUUUAAUAGUUAUCAGACAUUCCUGUCUGAGAAUCUCUUUUGUAGCCUCCAGUUUACUUAUUUUUGGAAGUUACAUUUAAUUAUUAUUAUCAUUUAAAAUGUCUAGGAACAGCUGUGCUUUGGCUUUAACUAUCUUUGCUAAGUGUUUAAGAUGAAGCAAGUCAAACUGACUUUUGUUCUUAUCUAUUGUCAACAGUCAGCUGAGUUUCCCUGGGAGUCCUCGGGGAACUUCAUUGCAGCUUCUCAGUUCUGCUGGUGCCAUUUACCUUAGGAUGGGUCCAGGCCUUGCUUGACCAUGUGGCUUCCCUCGGAAGCAUCAGGGAUGUUUCCCAUUUUCUGAUGACCCUCCUUUUCACAGCAAAUGCACCGAUUGGCUUUCUGUCCUCCACUGGUCUCAUUAAUCUCCCUGCUCAGGAGGUUAUGUGGCCUAGAGUUG
rnacentral:lncRNA from 1 species